rnacentral:lncRNA from 1 species
GUGAAACAGGAUGGAUCAGAGUUGGAGGAUACUAUAUGUUUGCUUGAUUUACAAUGGAAAAGUUCCAUGUCUGUGAUGAACGGAAAGAUUGACUUUUUCAUCUUACGCAAUAUACAAAAAUGAACUCCGGGUGGAUUUGAGCAUUAAUUCAAAUAUAAAACCACGGAAUAACUAGAUCUACAGUAGUAUCUAUCAGCCUGAAUAAUGAAGUAAACUGAGUCAAGCUUGAAGUACCAGAAAUUGAGUUCAUUCCAGAACAGCAGAAGAAUUACAAUUGGGAAAUGCCAACUGCACCAACCCAGGCUCAAGUCUGUAGAGGGUCCGCAGCGGGAGCCCAGCCGCAGUUCAAGCGAAAGCAGAAGAGAAAACAAAACAAAACAAAAGAAAACCUCAAUAUCUAAGGGACAGCAGAAACAGGAAGCGCUUCUAGAGCAGAGCUGUCAUCCUUUCCUGGAAGCUGCUGCUCAGUAGCCUGUCUCCAGCGAAACUGCUAAUGGUGACAACACAGGCAGAUUCUGGAAGGGGAACUCAAGGAUUCACAGGUCAGACAUGUCUGUUAACAGCAUGGUGAGUCCCUUUUGACGUUGGAAAGAGAAGGAAUUAGGACUGUUAAAUUUUAUAUAUAUUCUUCACUAGCUGGAUUAAAAAAAAUCCCAGGUUUUGAUACUGAGGUUCUAGAAACUCUAGGAAGAGGCUUCUUCCAG